AUUGAACGCUGGCGGCGUGCUUAACACAUGCAAGUCGAUCGGUAACGCGGGGGCAACCCUGGCGACGAGAGGCGGACGGGUGAGGAACGCUUGGGAAUCUGCCUAUCAGCGGGGGACAACCCGGGGAAACUCGGGCUAAUACCGCAUACGCUCUACGGAGGAAGGCCGGGGACCGCAAGGCCUGGCACUGAUAGUUGAGCCCAAGUCGGAUUAGCUAGUUGGCGGGGUAACGGCCCACCAAGGCGACGAUCCGUAGCUGGUCUGAGAGGACGAUCAGCCACACUGGGACUGAGACACGGCCCAGACUCCUACGGGAGGCAGCAGUGGGGAAUAUUGGACAAUGGGGGAAACCCUGAUCCAGCGACGCCGCGUGGGUGAAGGAGGCCUGCGGGUUGUAAAGCCCUUUCGGUAGGGACGAAAGCUCUCGACCUAACACGUCGGGAGGUUGACUUAACCUACAAAGAAGCACCGGCUAACUCUGUGCCAGCCGCCGCCGUAACAC
rnacentral:rRNA from 1 species